rnacentral:rRNA from 1 species
GCCCGCCAGAAUACUUAUAGUUUAAACUUAAAACUCAAAGGACUUGACGGUGUUGCACACCAACCUAGAGGAGCCUGUCCCAUAAUCGAUAGCCCACGUUUCACCUUACCCGCUUUUGCCCCCAGCAGCCUAUAUACCGCCGUCGAAAGCCUACCUUUUGAAAGAACCGCCGUAAGCAAGAUAGCCUGCCCGCUAGCACGUCAGGUCAAGGUGUAGCUAAAAGGCGGGGUUUAAGAUGGGCUACACUCUCUUCCCCAAGAGACCACACCUCCAAUGAAAACGGAUGAAAACGUCGGAUUUAGUAGUAAAACAGACAAGAAAGUCAAAUUGAAACCUGCGCUGCAACAUGUACACACCGCCC